UUGAUUAUCAUGAGUGAGUAGAGGAGCUUGAUAUUUAAUGGAUCAUACUAAACCUUGAUUGGUUAACCACUUGAACUCCUUGGUGCAAAACCCUAACUUGUUAACAAAGCAAGCAAGAUAUAUUUUUGUAUUUUCAAGGGGUUAGCAAAACAUAAAAAUAAAUAUUGUUUGUGACCUUGAUUUAUUCAAAUGAUGAAAAUGAGGUGAAAUCUUAGGGGUUAAAACUAGGGUAUGACAACGAGGAUCACUAUCAAUUUAUUCCCUCCAAAAUCAUCUAACAUGCUAACUUUUUCCCUCUCAAAGCCUCGUGCACUCAUCUAUAAAUCAACUUCACUAUUCACUCAAUAAAGACACAAACAAUUCCAUCCAAAUCCCUGCAAAAAUAUCAACUCACCCUCACUUACUAAGAGCUCUCGGAAAAAUUACCCAAGUUCAUCAUUAGAACUUGAGUUAAUCAGAACCUAAAGCCUCACUCAUCGGAGUCAUUCAUUACCUCGCUAGAAAAGAUCAAACAACAAAAGAAGAAGUAGAAGAGGGGAGACCACAACAAAAAAAGCAGCAGAGCAAAUAGAGAUAGUGUAUUAAAUAUCAUCUGAGGUAUCUUCUUUUCUCUGGAGUUGCAAAGCUCCGACGAGGUCUUCCUUUUCUGCAUUUCCUAGCCUUUUUGUAGCUUGCUUCUUGUCGUUUGUCGUUGUAGCAUACUUUAUUCCAUUAUUGUUUGAAUUUGGACUGCUAAUUUGGGGCUUUUGGACCUUGGGUUUCAGUUUGGGAUUGUGGUGUGAUAUACCAAUAUAGUUUUUAUCUGGUUUAAUCGAGUACAAAUUAGGUUUCAUGCUGAUAUUUAGGACAUGUUUUAUAUUGAUGAUGUUUAGUUUUGACGCGAUUUAGUUGAAAUAUUAGUUUGGAAGUGAUGAACGCCAUAUGGUGUUCAUCGUGUUCUUCAAAGAUUCCUAGUGUUUGAUCUUGUUUUAUGGAGUUUGUUUGGUUAAUUGUGUUUGUUAGAGAGAAAGAGAGUAAACUAGAGAGAAAAGGGAAAUGAGGUUAUGAUCUCACGUGGAUUGCACCCCUCUAUUUGAUCUCAAUUCCUUAUUCCUAGAAGUGGACAUGUGGCUUAUUCCCCAACCACUGGAUCCACUUACCUUGACACCUUGACUAGGAGAUUUUUGCAUAAUCCCCACUGUAGCUUUGCCACACACCCUUAUCAUGGCCCUCUGAUCAAAAGGCAUAUACAUAAGAUAAUUGAGAUCGAG
rnacentral:lncRNA from 1 species